UCAGUCUCGCCCGCCAGCUCCGCAUAGCCAGGGUGCGGUGCGGCCUCGGGCUUGCGGCGCUCGCAGCCCUGGUUUCCCAGCAUCCUCGGGCGGGGCUGUGGAGCCCGACCUAACACGUUGUUUCCUCGCAGUUUCCAACAUGGCAGGCAGGUUUUAUAGACAUGGAUAAGAAGUCCACACAUAGAAGUCCUGAAGAUGCUGGGACUGGCAGAUACAAAGGUAAACACAAGCAAAAGGAAAAAAAAAAGCAAAACCAAAAACACCACCGAUCUCGACAUAGAUCAGUAAUAUCUUAUUCUUCAGAUGAUUGUGUGUUUCCUUCUUCUUCAUCAUCUUCUUCAGGAAGCCAGACUGAUUCAAGUACUGAAGAUACUACCAGAGGAAAAAUUAAGAGGAAGAGAGCAGAGAAAAAGGAAUAAAUGGAAAAAAGAAAGAAAUGGUAUCUUCUGAAAUGUCCAUCAUCUUUUCUGGUCCUCAGUCAUUGACCACACCAUUUGCCACUGAGAUGUCCUCAUUCUUGUCUGCCUGGUGCCUUCAGUUCAAAAGAUGAAACAUCAAGAAAAAUUGAAGAAAAAAGGAGGAAACAAUCACAUGUCACCUUUUCAAGAGGGGCUGAAACCAGGCUGAACUUUUUGAUUUCCAAAAUUCAACAUUUUGGCUUAAGAUUGCCAAACAAGAAUGCAGACCCAGCACUGAGAAACCUAUAAAAACAUGGAAGAGCUCAGGGGACUGAAUGUCUUCACACCACAUCUAGACUCAUGAAACCAAUCUUCACACCCUCUGUAACUACACAAUAAAGAGUUUGGAAAUCAGAUUUUGUUUUUGAAGGCCCACAAUCAACACUCAAGAGCCUGAAGUCUAAGCCAGUUGUAGCAGUCGUAGGGUGCUUAUUCCAUAUUCACAUAUUUUAUAGGAAAGGAGGAGAAUGAGUCUGCUCUCCUAAAUAUUAUGCCUAACAAUUACAUAUAAAAUACUUUUACCAAAGUCCUACACAAAGCAGAAGAGUUACAGAUGGCAUGAAAAAGGUAAGGCUUAUUUAUGUACCUCUUGAUUAGUUUUUCUUCCCAAGUUUUAUCUUUAUUAUAAAUAAUGAUAAAAAAUGAAUAGAAAUGAAUGUCUCUUUCUUUCAACAAAUAUAGAUUUUCACAAUAUCAAAUAAUAUUUAUUUUCGCAGCAUGAUGUAAUGUUCUUUCACUCUUAUUUUAGGUACACUGGUUAUGAGUUUCCAACCAAAAGUUUCAUCUCUAAAAUGAUUACAGUGCUUUAUAAAGUAAGAAAGCAGAAAGAAGUUCCCCUGAUCAGUGUUUUAUGUUGCCUCUGAUAGUUUUACAGAUCCUUGGGCUUUUUGCUCAUUUAGGUUUAUAUGAGUGAGUGUGUAUCCAAUCUAACCAUGUACUUGAUAGUUGCCUUUAAAACAAGCUCCUGUUAUAAGUGAAUGAUGUGAGUGAUGGAAGAGAGGGCUAGGUUGAUUUUUUUAAAUUGGAUAUUAAGGUACUGUCAUGUUGUUGUUGAGGCAAACAGUUUAAAAAAAUCUUGAGUUAGGAUUUAAUAUCUUAUUCAUAUUACCAUAAUGUAGUGUUGUUGCUGAAUGGAAUUCCUUAAAGGGUUGGGUUUUUUUUUUCCAAGUGAUAUUAACUCAAACACAGAAGUGAUAUUAACUCAACACAGAUGCUGCUUGACUUAUGAUGGGGUUAUGCACCAAUAAACCCAUUGUAAGUUGAGAAUAUCGUAAGUCGAAAAUACGUUUAAUAUACCUAACUUACCAAACAUCAGAGCUUAGCCUAGCCUACCUUAAAUGUGCUUAUAAUACUUACAGUAGCUUAUAGUUGGGCAAAAAUCUAAAGUAAAACCUAUUUUAUAAUAAAGUGCUGAAUAUUCAUGUGAUUUAUUGAGUACUAUACUGAAAGUAAAAAACAGAAUGAUUGUAUGGGUACUCAAAGCAUGGUUUAUACUGAAUGCAUAUUGUAAGUCAAGGACUGUCUGUAAUCAGAUAUGAAAAAUUGUUAGAGAAUUCAGGUCUCAUCAAUACUUAGCACAAACCUGCAGCAGUACUACAACUACCUAGUGUACCUGUGUUAAGACACAUUCAUUUAUUUUACAUUCUGUUGUUUAAAAGAUAUUUUAUCAGUAAUGCCAGAGGAAGGACUGAAUUAUCUCUCUAUUCUCCAUGUACAAAAGAAAAAAAAAAGGUAUUACAAAAUUGUUAUACUAGAAAGUGACAAUCAAAGAAUAUGCA